rnacentral:sRNA from 1 species
CUGGGAAGAAGAGGAAAAUAUAUUUAGACGAACAGCCAGAAAUCUAUUUCUACUCUCUUGAAGAGCUUGUAUAAGAUAAGAAAUACUUGAAUCAUGGGUUUUUUUAAUUACUUGACCUAUUUUCUGGCUGCUGGUGCUGUCACUUUGGGAAUUGGUUUCUUUGCUUUGGCAUCAGCUUUGUGGUUCCUGAUUUGCAAACGAAGAGAAAUAUUUCAAAAUUCCAAAUUUAAAGCAAUUGAUGAGAGAUGCAGGCAAAGACCAUCAACGGCGAAGAUUAAAUCUCAUUCUCAGUGUGUUUUUAUUUCUCGAAAUUUUCAUACUGGGAGAUUCCAAUUACAGUUUUGGAGGCUGAGAAGUCCAAGAUCAAGAUGCUGAAAGAUCCGGUUCUGGGGAAGGCCCUCUUCCUGGUUUGG